GACGAACGCUGGCGGCGUGGAUUAGGCAUGCAAGUCGAACGGUAUCAUCCUUUCGGGGGUGAGAGAGUGGCGAACUGGUGAGUAACACGUAGGUUAUCUACCCUCAAGACGGGGACAACCCAGGGAAACUUGGGCUAAUACCGGAUGUGAGCAACUUUUAGUUGUUUGAAAGGUGGCGUAAGCUGUCGCUUGGGGAUGAGCCUGCGUCCUAUUAGUUAGUUGGUGAGGUAACGGCUCACCUAGGCAAUGAUAGGUAGGCGGCCUUAACGGGUGGUCGCCCACACUGGGAUUGAGAUACGGCCCAGACUCCUACGGGAGGCAGCAGUCGAGAAUAGUCUACAAUGGUCGGAAGACUGAUAGUGCGACGCCGCGUGAACGAUGAAUCCCUUCGGGGUGUAAAGUUCUUUUAUAUGUGAGCAGUGCUUCUUAUAUUAACAGUAUGGGGAAGAGAUAUUAGCAUAUGAAUAAGCAACGGCUAACUCCGUGCCAGCAGCCGCGGUAAGA
rnacentral:rRNA from 1 species